GGAGAGCUUGAGACGGUUCAAGGAGCUGUAAACCCUGGAUGCUGGAUGAGGAAGUAGGAGAGACCACAGAAAAGUUUUCUUGGAAGAUCAGCAAGGAAGGAGUCACUACGCUCAAAGAGAAGGCUUUGUACAAGGACAAGAUUUUGCCCAAGUUAGAGUUCUGUGCUGCUGGUUCUAGGCCGGGGGAUGAGCCACGUUGAGCCCACAUCCUGGCGUUCUUUAUCACAGCUGCCUGCAUAGCCAUUGGCCACAGAUUAUUGCAUUGACUGGUCGCCCUGGAUGCAGG